rnacentral:lncRNA from 1 species
CGUAUUUCUUCUUAGUCUUCAUUUUUUUAAACUAACUUUAUGCUAUGGAAUAGGUUGUUCAGUUAUUGAAAUCUGAAGAGUUGUAAUCCUAUCUUCUAAUUCUGUUGGUUGUGUUUGCUCUUUCUUGUUCAUAGUGUGUGUGUUAAUUUGUAUUAUUCUCUCCUCUUAAGACACUUGGAAGACCCGGAUUGAAGCUUGUCUCUUUGUCAAGUUUAUAUCUGCUUCUGCCAAGCACCUAAGGGAUAUUAAUUUUAAUGGCCAUUUCUACGCUUGGGUUUCCCCAGGCCAUGCAGGAUGGACCCUUUAUAGGACCGCAGUCUGUGACAUCUUGACACACUCCUACCUGCCAUAGUGGAAGGAAGAAGUUCAUGUACUGCAAACUCUCCUCAGCUAAGCUUCCGACCUUUUUGAGGGGGGAAAAAAAUUACCAGAAAUCCUUAACUUGAGGGGAAGGAAACAGCAUUGACUCCAUCAGUCACUGCGGGGAGUUUAAUUAUCAUCUAAUCAUCACAUCUGGCCUGUGACACAAGCUUUUGUACCCCGAUUUUGCAGAUAAGGACACUUAUCUGGCGUUUACGAACCAUGUGAUUUUGCUAAGUAACUACACAGAUGAGCCCUUUUCACCAAAGCACCCGAGUUUCUCACUGUCCCUUUAUGAAAUUAGAGUCAUCAAGCUGUUCCUCUCGCCUUGGUACCAGAUCUGUUCAAAGCCGGGCUCAGAGGAAGGCACCUGUCCUUCCCUCCCAGCCCUCAGCAGAGUCCAGGAGCACCAGACUCCGAGGCUCAGCCUGGGCAUCCUCGGCGUAACCCAUCCGCUCUGCUCUUCCUUAUCCACAGCCCAGUACUAGGUCUGCAGAGCGCCGCGUGCUGGCCUGGAAAUAAAGUGCUCUGAAGGGAUUCCUGGAGUUUUCCAAGCACUGGGGGCCUCCCUGCGAGCGCGAUCGUUUGCAGUUAGCACGGAAUCCUGGAGGGGGCGCCCGAGGCCUCCCACGAGCCAAGCGCGGACUGCGGGAGCGCCCGCACCACCCCGCGCACUUGAACACCCGAGGGUUGCGGGAUCUGCAGCCAGUGACUGAACGCCUGGUGGCUGGGGAAACUUACAGGCAACUCCUCACAGAAUAUAUAGCCUCUGUUCUCAAAUAGGAUGAGCAGGGGCUUCAAAAAGUUGGGGAACUAGCGUCUGCUUCGGGUACCUGUGUCCUCUGCAGGUGGGAGCAGAGACCUCGCGCUGCCCAAUUGCUAAGGGUCCUCGAGUUUGUUAGACCAGCCCCCGCCUCAGAAGUGGAAGCUCAAUUAUUCCUUCCCAGUAAUUAAAAUGCACAACCA